rnacentral:lncRNA from 10 species
GAUUUCCUCCCGGCCCCCGCCCUCCCACAGCCCUUUGCAGGACGUGCAACAGGGUUGUGGCUCGUGUGUUCGGUCUCUGCCUGCUGAAACCCCUUAUGGGAGGUGGAGCAUGCAGACGGACGGGUGCAGGAGCCAGGGUGCAAAAGCUGGGGCGCUGGGCUUCCAGCCCCACGGCAGUGUCCAGGGGCAGGAUCCCGUGAUUCCCGGAGCCCAAAUGGGCGUGUGUUACAGUGUGCUCUUUUAGCCUUACCAUCAGCUGACGGCUUAAGUGUUAACCAGCUCAAUAGACCCUCUGCCUUUUUGCAAGCGCAGAGGGUCAGUGUGACAGUUUCUGUAUCUCAGCUCUUGUCUCACCUCCCAGAAGAAUCAGGUCACACAUGGACUUGAAGGAUGAACACCAGAGACUGGGUAAUUAAUAAAAAGAAGAAAUUGAUCUGGCCUACAGUUCUGGAGCCUUGGAAGUCCGAGAUCAAGGAGCUGCAUCUGGAAAACACAGAUCCUGGUGCCGAACAUGAGGACAGGGCAGGCCGAAGGAGAAAGUGGAAGGAGGGGAGCUUCUCUCUCAGCCUCAUCCUUCUGGGCCUGGAUGCUGGAGAGUCAUGAGGUGCUUCAGAGUACUCUGGGUGAGGAGGGAAAGAUGGUGCCCACCACAUGGAGGCCAGCCUAGGUCUUGUAUGAAACCUGUGAGCUAGCUGAAAGCAGAGAACCCAGCAGAGGAUUCUGGGAAGGUCCUGGGGGAUGGCAGAGCCAGCAGAGAGAGGGUAUGGAUCCACCAGGCAUAGGAUGGAACAGAGCACUAUUGACCACAGUGAACUGGGGCAUGGGCAAUCAAUAAACACAUAUUAGAUUAAGCUAUUGAGACUCAGGGAUUUUUAUACAACUGACAUUCCCUAAGAAGCCAUGAUCUUCCUGUCUCAGGAGGUGCAUAAGCAGUGGUUGAAUGUUCAACAGUCAAGAAUGUUAUAAAAAGAGGUUCUUGGGAGAGUGGACCUGAUGGCCAGCAAAAAUCAUAGCUCACAUUUAUUGAGUUAUUAUGGCUCAGGCAUGUGCACAUAUUCUUUUAUUUAAAUCUACAAUAUGCUUUAUCAUGCUCAUUUUAUACAUGAGGAACACAAGGCAUGGAGAGGUUAGAUAACAUGCCUAAGAUCAUGAAGCAAGCAAGGGGGAGAAAAGAUACCCUUCUCACUCCUUCCAGACAGCUCACUUCACCACCACUCCCCACUGUCUCUAAAGCAAAAGUUAUUUGAAGGCUUAGGGACUGGUUUGGUAUUAUCCAUGCAGGGCGGUUUGUUUUGUUUUUCUUUUAAAAUUUCAGCCUAUGCUUAAAAGAUUUCAUGUAAAAAUUCUGUUUUCUAGUUUCUCUUGAAAAUUAAGAAGAUCUGGUAAAACUGGGCUUGAAGACCAUUAUGGUAACAGGCUGCUGAAGCUGAGGAGAGGGCCCCUUCAGAUGGGCAUAAGCACUGCUCCCCCUCCCCAACCCCCCUUUUAGGUUACUAUCAGACUCUGGAAGCUUCUGAAUGUGUGAACCCUGAAAGAGUCCAUCUAAAGCUAAGUUCUCCCCAGGGGUAGAGCCCAAUGCUGGGCAUACAGUAGGG